rfam:Ictidomys tridecemlineatus contig050363, whole genome shotgun sequence.
GGGGCUGUAGCUCAGUGGUAGGGCACUUACCUUGCACGUGUGCGGUACUGAGUUCGAUCCUCAGCACCA